GACGAACGCUGGCGGCGUGCCUAACACAUGCAAGUCGAACGAGUGGCGGACGGGUGAGUAAUGUCUGGGAAACUGCCUGAUGGAGGGGGCUAACUACUGGAAACGGUAGCUAAUACCGCAUACCAUCAGAUGUGCCCAGAUGGGAGUCGCUUGUUGGUGGGGUAACGGCUCACCAAGGCGACGAUCCCUAGCUGGUCUGAGAGGAUGACCAGCCACACGUGAACUGUGACACGGUCCAUACUCCUACGUGAGGCAGCAGUGGGGAAUAUUGCACAAUGGGCGCAAGCCUGAUGCAGCCAUGCCGCGUGUAUGAAGAAGGCCUUCGGGUUGUAAAGUACUUUCAGCGGGGAGGCGUUACCCGCAGAAGAAGCACCGGCUAACUCCGUGCCAGCAGCCGCGGUAAUAC
rnacentral:rRNA from 1 species